UUGAGCCGGAUGAAGUGAAAGCUUCAUGUCCGGUUCUUAGGGGGCUAAAGGGUAGAGAUACUCUUAGCUACCCGAU
rnacentral:ncRNA from 1 species